rnacentral:rRNA from 1 species
CAACGCCGCGUGUGUGAUGAAGGUCUUCGGAUCGUAAAGCACUGUCGCGAGGGACGAAUAAGGGACGGGCGAACAGUCCGUCACGAUGACGGUACCUCGAGAGGAAGCACCGGCUAACUCUGUGCCAGCAGCCGCGGUAAUACAGAGGGUGCGAGCGUUGUUCGGAAUUAUUGGGCGUAAAGCGCGUGUAGGCGGCCUAGCAAGUCGGAUGUGAAAGCCCUCGGCUUAACCGAGGAAGUGCGUUCGAAACUACUGGGCUUGAGUACCGGAGAGGGUGGCGGAAUUCCCGGUGUAGAGGUGAAAUUCGUAGAUAUCGGGAGGAACACCAGUGGCGAAGGCGGCCACCUGGACGGAUACUGACGCUGAGACGCGAAAGCGUGGGUAGCAAACAGGAUUAGAUACCCUGGUAGUCCACGCUGUAAACGAUGAGCGCUAGGUGUUGCGGGUGUUGACCCCUGCAGUGCCG